GGAAGCGUCGCCGAGUGGUCUAAGGCGCUGGUUUUAGGCACCAUUCUGAAAGGGCGCGGGUUCGAGUCCCGCCGCCGUUA
rnacentral:tRNA from 1 species